ACGCUCGACACCUACGGGGGGCAGCAGUGGGGAAUAUUGCACAAUGGGGGAAACCCUGAUGCAGCGACGCCGCGUGAGCGAAGAAGUAUUUCGGUAUGUAAAGCUCUAUCAGCAGGGAAGAAACUGACGGUACCUGACUAAGAAGCACCGGCUAAAUACGUGCCAGCAGCCGUGGUAAUCUGAGGCGGGCUGGCAAGGC
rnacentral:rRNA from 1 species